rnacentral:rRNA from 1 species
UGUGACCUCAAAUCAGGUAGGACUACCCGCUGAACUUAAGCAUAUCAAUAAGCGGAGGAAAAGAAACUAACAAGGAUUCCCCUAGUAACUGCGAGUGAAGCGGGAAAAGCUCAAAUUUAAAAUCUGGCGGUCUUUUGGCUGUCCGAGUUGUAAUCUAGAGAAGUGUUAUCCGCGCUGGACCGUGUACAAGUCUCCUGGAAUGGAGCAUCAUAGAGGGUGAGAAUCCCGUCUUUGACAUGGACUGCCAGGGCUUUGUGAUGCGCUCUCAAAGAGUCGAGUUGUUUGGGAAUGCAGCUCAAAAUGGGUGGUAAAUUCCAUCUAAAGCUAAAUAUUGGCGAGAGACCGAUAGCGAACAAGUACCGUGAGGGAAAGAUGAAAAGAACUUUGGAAAGAGAGUUAAACAGUACGUGAAAUUGCUGAAAGGGAAACGCUUGAAGUCAGUCACGUCAUCCAGAGAUCAGCCUUGCUUUUGCUUGGUGCACUUUCUGGUUUGAUGGGUCAGCAUCAAUUUUGAUCAUUGGAAAAAGGUCAGGGGAAUGUGGCAUCUUUGGA